UCAUCCAUUCUGUGAUACUGCAGUUCUCUAUUGUGCACAAAAGGUCACAGAGUAGAAUGUACACUGGAUGUGUGUAAUUGGUAUCGCAAGUCCUCGACCCUUUGGGAAAUGACUUCAAACAGCUUAAUAUGCUUUUCAAAAAAAGACAUCAAUUAUGUUAUGUACUGUAACUAUGUGCAUACCGUUUGCAGAUGGAUUCCAGUAAUUCUGGCUGGAUCGUGACCUCUUAACCAGUGCCUCAUAACUCUUUAUAACAAAGCUGAUAAUACCACUGAACUGCUUCUUUUUUUGCCGAUGGCAAAUCAGCCUGAAGCUCCCCUUCUAUUUACAGUAAUCUGUAACAUUAUAAAAAAAUCAGGUAUGUUCUGAGCAUUAACAGAGCAUUGUACGGUCAGUCGAGGGCUAUGAUUUAAGUUUGUCAGGGCUGCAUGUUGACAUGCCUCUGUUAAAGUAUAAUUAAACUGUUUUUUUUUUUAGACACUUUCUUGAAUCUAUACCUACAUAAUUGUUCUGUUUGUCAUGUUUGGUACCAUUGUAUUUGUAGGGGAAAGGGCUUUUGAAUGAUGCGCAACUUGACCCAUUUCCAAUGAAGUAUUAUCAAAAUUUCCACAAACUGGAGGAGCUGGGUGCUGGGGAAAGGGGCAGGCGGGGUGGCAAGUCACGCACCCUCACCCCAUACCACUGAGGUUAACACCAGUGAAAUUAUGAUUCUGUAGAUUUUUAUGAAUCAAAUGAUACCUUCUUUAUCUUUCUAUGAUUAAUUUGCUCAUGGAAUUACACAUGCUCCCAGGCUGUUAGAGGGGCAGCACAAUCUCACACUACCUUUAAAGAAAUGCUUAUUUAACUUCCCACCUGACCUCUCUGUGGUCAAAAACAAACAUCUUUGAGCUCCCCUGUCUCUUUGGUCUUACAAAUUCUUAUUUACUGCUAACAUGCAAUUCUGAGAACUGGCCACCUGUGACAUAUGAUGUAAACCACACAAACAGUGCAUGAAUGUUCUGUGCUAACAGAAGACAACAGGCCAGUCCUCUUCAAUCUGCAUGGUGGGGUAGCAUGGGAAAUGUACUACAGCUGGAUGCUACAGCAAUGCAUUUUUGAAGAAGAAAACUACUACUUAUAGUGACCAUAGCUGAAUGAAUAAUGAUGUUAGCUAAACAGCUGCAUCUACUUAAUCUAAAGAACAAUUCCCAGAGGACCAAACUAGAAAUCAUUUUUUCCCCAGAGAUAAAGUGCUCUAAGAGCUUUGACUUUCUUUUGGGCGGGGGGGAAGGGGAAGGAAUCCCACCUUAAGUGUAAAUCACUUAUAGCUCAGGUAGUCUGAUAUAGGAUCUGAAAAUAUGUUUUAUCUGCUUGCUUUCUGUGCUGCCAUCACCUCCCCAGUGCUUUAUAAGUGACUACAGUACUGUAAGAACUACUAGGGCUUAAACAUCAAUGCUUUAUACACUCGAGCAGUUAGAUCCAUUGGUAAAAAUAUAUUUGAGAUAAAGGUGGCGGGGAGAGGAGGAAAAUGUGGUAACGGUCUUAAGGUCCUGCAUCCUUUGACUUGCCAAGGCAAAAUUCUUAAGCAAAUUCAAUAACAAUCCCUCUCUGAAUCCAAGGGGGUCUCUCACUUCAAAACUCUGUUCACUCUUCCCAUGAGACAUAAGUCCUCUCCUAAACCAAUUGUUCAUAAAACUAGCUAUUCUUCUUCUCUCUUGUACCACUGUCACUCCACUAGGGGGCUUCACACACACAAGGUGCAACCUUGUAUCUCAGUCCACCCUCUUCCAGUCAACUCUGAGGUUCACUCUGUUUUUCAAAUUAUUCACUCCUUCCUAUGUAACUUGUAGGGAUGAAUGGUCCAUUUUCCCCCUUCUCCAAGCAAAGCCCCACUCUGCUGAAAAUCUAACCUUGGCACAAAGGAGAUAAUGUCUAACUCUUCCUCCCAUCCUGCAGUGUUCAUUCCAAUGGAGGGACGCAAUCUGCACAUCUGAUAAAGCCUCCUAAAGUAACUCUUCUUCCCAGCAACACUUAAUUCUUGUUUUCAAGCCCUACUUCAUGUAUUAAUACUUAACAUUAUUUCUUCCUUCCCAACUUUAGCCAUACUCCCUUCACAAACCAACAAAACUGAUCCCUCAAUUCCAGUAAAACAGUAAGCUUCUGGGUCCCUGGGGGACUUCUUAAAGGUACCCCCUUCCCCAGGUCAGAGUUAUGGUGACGUGGCAGUCGUCUCUCACCUGGAUUUGGGAGAUUUAACUCUUGUCUCCACCUUGAAGAGUGGAAUUUUUAUGUUAAUGUAUCCACAUUCAGUUUGAAAACUGGGUCCAGGUUGUGAUUAAUGCUCCGUGUAUUAGGCCUGGUAAUUACCUUUGAAAAUCUUAUGCUGUUGUCUGAUUUAGGGUGUUAAUAAUAUUAAUUUGAAUAAUAUGGGUUUUAGGCUCGCCAAUUUGUUUGAUCAGAAGAUAAAAGUUCUUGUCCUGAAUCAGGCUCCACGGAAUUUACAAAGGACCCUCGGGGGUAUGCCAGGAAGCUCACACUGAGACUGAUCGCUGCCAAGAAGCAGUCACAGGAAAUCAGGUUCCUGUGCUCUUAAGUGUGAGUGAGUAAGACACACAAUCUUGCUCUCUAACUCUCUGUAACUUUAACUCUUUACUUAUGCCUCAGGUGAGAAUCUCAGGGGUCUAAAGAUGCCUGGAAUCCCUGAAAAUUCCUGUCACACACUCCAUGACUCUCCUGGCUGGCUUGCCAGUCUGUUGCCUGAUUUAGGGUAUUAAUAUUAAUUUGGAUAAUAUGGGUUUUAGGCUCGCCAAUUUGUUUGAUCAGAAGAUAAAAGUUCUUGUCCUGAAUCAGGCUCCACGGAAUUUACGAAGGACCCUCGGGGGCAUCACACUCACACUGGAAGCUCACAGUGAGACAGAUAUAGCCGUAAAGACUUUUUAUUAAAAUAAAUGAAGUAGUAAUUAAAUGGUAAAAUAAUCAGAGUUACAAAGUUACAAUUAUAUUACUGCUAUUUAAAAGAUACAUAAGCUGAACUUACAUUAAUAUAAAUCUAUAAACCUAUUACAAUAAACCAAAUAUUUAAACUACAAGAAAAGAUAUAUAUGCAAGCAGGUUAAUCCUAUAGGCUGCAAUGCUAAGGGCCAGUUCUUUCUCCUUCCCUUUAGAGUUGUAGAUAGCAGGAUGCCAUGGUGAGUUGCUUCUUACUUUUAGAAUGGUUAAUAACUAUAGUGUGUCUAGAUACGAGACUGCCUGCAUUUAUAAAGGUAUUUGUUUCCAUUUCUGUCAGUUCUGCACUUUUUGAAAAGCAGGGAUACAAAAUAAGAGGGGUGCAUGUACACUCAGUUGGCAAAACUUAGCUAUAAACAUUGUCAAUAUGCUCUUUCUGAGUCUUGGUGGGAAUGGGGAUGGAAAGUCUCCUUCCCACCCCCAACUCUUGUUCAAUAGAUGGCACUGAUCAUCCUAUAUUUGUAUGGUUUUAGCUGAAUAACUUUUAGAAACUUGGCUUGUGCCAGAUCCUUAAGUAAGAAACCCAAAUAUGAAUUCCCAUCUCUUGAUUUCAAAGAAGGAAACUUUGUUCUGAAUAAUAUCCUAUCAUAAAUAUCCUGUCUUUCUGAUGCAGUACCACUCUGAAUUUGCCCCUGAACUUAGUGUGAGCUCCCUAAUAUUAUAAAGUAACACUUCUUAAGCAAGCUGGAUGAAAAGUGUUAUACCAAGGCAAGAAAAGUCCAAGUUAACUGAACAAAAAGUCAAUUCAGAAUAGCCUAAAAAUUCAAUAAUCAUUCUAGUAAUCUCUUGUCUUCCAAAUUUAGUGAUGGUAUCAAAACCAUGUUUCCGAACAGUCUGAAGUCAGUAACUAAUACCUUGAGUUAGGCUAGUAGAAAACAUUCUCAGAAGCUAGUCAUGCUGUUACUAGAGCUCAUUUGGUACAUCUAUCAUAGUGUGCUAUAGAGCACAGGUUAACAGCUAAAUGUUUGCAAUCUUUCCACUGUUUCCCAAGAGAACAGUGCUGUUUCCCUGCCUCUGAGUCACUCACUUGUGGUUCACAAAGCCCUACUCUUUACCCCAUCCUCUUUAACCUCCACAUGAAGUUACUGGGUGGAGGGAAGUGUAUGUCUACACUGCAGUGCAAGCCUGAGCCCAGGCUUGAGUCUAAAUCACCCUUCAAUUCUAUAUACACAUCUCUUUGGAUUGGGCCUAAGGUCCUAGGACACUGCAGGGCUGGAGGGUUUGAGCCCCAUUCAAGCAGGGACCCAGGGUUAGAGCCCUGCAGAUUUGCAAUGUAGAUGCAGCCCCCCAACUUGGGUUCUUGGAGUCCACCAAAAGUAUCCCACAAUCCCAGGGGCCAACUUCCUUUGUCCUCUCUAUCCUAAGAAUCUCCAGUCGACUCCAGGGAAACGGAAGCCGCUCCUCUUGGUUUGGUGCAGCAGCUCAGUGAGUCAGUGUUUAACCUUCCCAUUGUCUUCUGAACACCAAGCUGCAAAGUCACCAUCAGAGAGCCUUCUGUGUUUGCAAUGGACACUGAACAGAAGUCGUUUGCAAAGUGUGCUGCUUCAGGAGCAAAGCCAGAUUUUGGUAAAUCUCUGGUGCAAAGCCAGUAAAACAGUGGACUUUAAAAUACCAGGAAUGACCACACAUACCAACAAAUAGCGAAGAAGCUGGCAGCAUUGCAAAUUUACGAGACCAGUGCAGGGAGUGGAUUCAGCAGCUCACAGAGUAUUGGAAAACCAAGGGCCAGAACCACACCUUGGGCAACUCACCAACAUCAUGCCCAAUUUAUGAUGAGUUUGAGAGGGUGCCGGGCACUGCGCUGACUACCGAGCCAAUGGUGGUGCAUGAUGGCGCCCUGCUGGCCCCACAAUCCAGCAUGGGGACAGAUUGGGGUCAGCAGCAGGUGCCGAGUGAGGACAGUGAAGUGACUCUGUUGCUGAAACGGAUCCCAGAGGAGGCUUGGAGCAGUGAGAGCGCAUCCUGGGAUCAUACUUGGAGAAGCUGUUUGCUUCCUACUCCCCCGGAGAAACAGCCUGCUAUGGAAGUCUAUAUCAGACACAGAAGGGACAGAAGAUGCCCCUGAGCCUGGCCCCUGGACCUCUACUGGCUGCAGUACUUCCACAGCUCACCAACACUGCAGCAGAAGACUGGGCCAGUGUAACUAAACAGAUCGUUCCAAGAGGAAGCAUUUCUGUGAUGAGCUGAUGGUUGAAGUUCUGGACAGAGCCGCCAAGCAGGUCCAGUACUAAAGGCAGAGAUUCUUGAGGCUAGAGGAGAGGCCUGGCAAGAGGAAAGGCUCAGGCUUGCUGCACAGCUUGAGGACAGGGCUUCAGUGAAGGAGCAGGCACUUGCUUCACAGUUCCAGGAACAGCAGUUGAGAGAAGGACAGAGCUCAGCAGAAAGAACAGUUUGAGCAGCAGAUAUCACUAAUGGCUGCAAGAGAACAGACUCCUGCUGAAUCACCCACAUCACAGCCUCAGUCCCUUGCAUGCUACCUUGUGAUGCAGUCCAGAAACAGCUUGAAAAACUCCAUGGCUGGAUGGCCCAUGCAGUUGGGCAUCAUGAGUAGCUAGACAGGGCAACUGCCCCAUGCAGCCCUACAGAUUGAUCCCCU